rnacentral:rRNA from 1 species
AUUGAACGCUGGCGGCAAGCCUAACACAUGCAAGUCGAACGAGUCGCGCGCGGGUGAGAAAUGUCUGGGAAACUGCCUGAUGGAGGGGGAAAACUACUGGAAACGGUAGCAAAUACCGCAUACCCUCGGAUGUGCCCAGAUGGGAUUAGCUAGUGGGUGGGGGAAAGGCUCACCUAGGCCACGACCCCUAGCUGGUCUGGGAGGAUGACCAGCCAAACUGGGACUGAGAAACGGUCCAGACUCCUACGGGAGGCAGCAGUGGGGAAUAUUGCACAAUGGGCGCAAGCCUGAUACAGCCAUGCCGCGUGUAUGAAGAAGGCCUUCGGGUUGUAAAGUACUUUCAGCGGGGAGGCGUUACCCGCAGAAGAAGCACCGGCUAACUCCGUGCCAGCAGCCGCGGUAAUUC